AUUGACCGCUGGCGGCAGGCCUAACACAUGCAAGUCGAACGAGUGGCGGACGGGUGAGUAAUGUCUGGGAAACUGCCUGAUGGAGGGGGAUAACUACUGGAAACGGUAGCUAAUACCGCAUACCAUCAGAUGUGCCCAGAUGGGAUUAGCUAGUGGGUGGGGUAACGGCUCACCUAGGCGCCGAUCCCUAGCUGGUCUGAGAGGAUGACCAGCCACAUUGGAACUUAUACACGGUCCAGACUCCUACGGGAGGCAGCAGUGGGGAAGAUUGCACAAUGGGCGCAAGCCUGAUACAGCCAUGCGGCGUGUGUGAAGAAGGCCUUCGGGUUGUAAAGCACUUUCAGCGGGGAGGCGUUACCCGCAGAAGAAGCACCGGCUAACUCCGUGCCAGCAGCCGCGGUAAUAC
rnacentral:rRNA from 1 species